rnacentral:rRNA from 1 species
GACGAACGCUGGCGGCGUGCUUAACACAUGCAAGUCGAACGAAGAGCGAUGGAAGCUUGCUUCUAUCAAUCUUAGUGGCGAACGGGUGAGUAACGCGUAAUCAACCUGCCCUUCAGAGGGGGACAACAGUUGGAAACGACUGCUAAUACCGCAUACGAUCUAAUCUCGGCAUCGAGGAUAGAUGAAAGGUGGCCUCUACAUGUAAGCUAUCACUGAAGGAGGGGAUUGCGUCUGAUUAGCUAGUUGGAGGGGUAACGGCCCACCAAGGCGAUGAUCAGUAGCCGGUCUGAGAGGAUGAACGGCCACAUUGGGACUGAGACACGGCCCAGACUCCUACGGGAGGCAGCAGUGGGGAAUCUUCCGCAAUGGACGAAAGUCUGACGGAGCAACGCCGCGUGAGCGAUGACGGCCUUCGGGGUGUAAAAGCUCUGUUAAUCGGGGACGAAAAGGCCCUUCUG